rnacentral:sRNA from 1 species
UUGGCGACGUCCACGUUUUCGCUCUGCUGGUAGAGUUUACCUACCGCUUCGCUGAUGGCCGGGUGCCAGGUGACGGCACGGUUUACGGCUUCGCCCAGCUGCAGCGUGCCGGGCGCGGCUUUGCUGGCGACAGGGGCCACGCGGCCGUUCAGAGAGGGGAGUUCCUGCGUUUCGCUGAGUUGUUCGGCAUUAAUCGUUCCCGCCGGGUUGGCAGCUAGAGCGGGCACAGAUAUCAGGCAGCACGAGAGCCACCAGUAAGGCAUCUUCUUUCCCAUGUCUUGUCCCUAAUAAAAUGGUACAGCUUUAUUGUUGUGCCCGGGCGCUGUGCGCCCGGGU